UACGUAGGGCGCAAGCGUUAUCCGGAAUUAUUGGACGUAAAGAGCUCGUAGUCGGUUUGUCGCGUCUGCCGUGAAAGUCCGGGGCUUAACUCCGGAUCUGCGGUGGGUACGGGCAGACUAGAGUGCAGUAGGGGAGACUGGAAUUCCUGGUGUAGCGGUGAAGUGCGCAGAUAUCAGGAGGAACACCGAUGGCGAAGGCAGGUCUCUGGGCUGUAACUGACGCUGAGGAGCGAAAGCAUGGGGAGCGAACAGGAUUAGAUACCUGGUAGUC
rnacentral:rRNA from 1 species